CCUACGGGAGGCUGCAGUGGGGAAUAUUGCACAAUGGGGGAAACCCUGAUGCAGCGACGCCGCGUGAGUGAAGAAGCGUUUCGGCGCGUAAAGCUCUGUCAGCGGGGAAGAAACACGGUUCGCGAGAGCCGCGGACGGUACCCGACCAAGGAGCACCGGCUAACUACGUGCCAGCAGCCGCGGUAAUACGUAGGGGGCAAGCGUUAUCCGGAUUCACUGGGUGUAAAGGGAGCGUAGACGGCGAGACAAGUCUGGAGUGAACGGCCGGGGCCCACCCCCGGGACUGCUCUGGAAACUGCCUGGCUGGAGGACAGGAGAGGUGAGUGGAAUUCCUAGUGUAGCGGUGAAAUGCGUAGAUAUUAGGAGGAACACCAGAGGCGAAGGCGGCUAACUGGACUGCAACUGACGCUGAGGCACGAAAGUGUGGGGAGCAAACAGGAUUAGAUACCCUGGUAGUC
rnacentral:rRNA from 1 species